rnacentral:rRNA from 1 species
AACGAACGCUGGCGGCAUGCCUAACACAUGCAAGUCGAACGAAGGCUUCGGCCUUAGUGGCGCACGGGUGCGUAACGCGUGGGAAUCUGCCCUUGGGUUCGGAAUAACAGCGAGAAAUUGCUGCUAAUACCGGAUAAUGUCGCAAGACCAAAGAUUUAUUGCCCAAGGAUGAGCCCGCGUUGGAUUAGCUAGUUGGUGGGGUAAAAGCCUACCAAGGCGACGAUCCAUAGCUGGUCUGAGAGAAUGAUCAGCCACACUGGGACUGAGACACGGCCCAGACUCCUACGGGAGGCAGCAGUGGGGAAUAUUGGACAAUGGGCGAAAGCCUGAUCCAGCAAUGCCGCGUGAGUGAUGAAGGCCUUAGGGUUGUAAAGCUCUUUUACCCGGGAUGAUAAUGACCGUACCGGGAGAAUAAGCUCCGGCUAACUCCGUGCCAGCCGCCGCUGUAAAAC